GACGAACGCUGGCGGCGUGCCUAAUACAUGCAAGUGGAACGCACAGUUUAUACCGUAGCUUGCUACACCAUAGACUGUGAGUUGCGAACGGGUGAGUAACGCGUAGGUAACCUGCCUGGUAGCGGGGGAUAACUAUUGGUAACGAUAGCUAAUACCGCAUAAUAUUGAUUAUUGCUUGAUAAUUGCUUGAAAGAUGCUAUUGCAUCACUACCAGAUGGACCUGCGUUGUAUUAGCUAGUAGGUGAGGUAACGGCUCACCUAGGCGACGAUACAUAGCCGAGCUUGGAAGGUGGUCGAGCACACUGGGACUGAGACACGGCCCAGACUCCUACGGGAGGCAGCAGUAGGGAAUCUUCGGAAAUGGACGAAAGUCUGACCGAGCAACGCCGCGUGAGUGAAGAAGGUUUUCGGGUCGUAAAGCUCUGUUGUAAGAGAAGAACGGGUAUGAGAGUGGAAAGUUCACACUGUGACGUUAUCUAACCAGAAAGGGACGGCUAACUACGUG
rnacentral:rRNA from 1 species